rnacentral:rRNA from 1 species
AUUGAACGCUGGCGGCAGGCCUAACACAUGCAAGUCGCGCGAGCGGCGGACGGGUGAGUAAUGUAUGGGGACUGCCCGAUAGAGGGGGAUAACUACUGGAAACGGUGGCUAAUACCGCAUCCUGUCGGGUAACCCAUAUGGGAUUAGCUAGUAGGUAAGGUAAUGGCUUACCUAGGCGACGAUCCCUAGCUGGUCUGAGAGGAUGAUCAGCCACACUGGGACUGAGACACGGCCCAUACUCCUACGGAGGCAGCAGUGGGGAAUAUUGCACAAAGGGCGCAAGCCUGAUGCAGCCAUGCCGCGUGUAUGAAGAAGGCCCGAGGGUUGUAAAGUACUUUCAGUCGGGAGGCGUUACCGACAGAAGGAGCACCGGCUAACUCAGUGCCAGCAGCCGCGGUAAUAC